rnacentral:rRNA from 1 species
AGCGCAUACGGUGGAUGCCUUGGCAGUCAGAGGCGAUGAAAGACGUGGUAGCCUGCGAAAAGCUUCGGGGAGUCGGCAAACAGACUUUGAUCCGGAGAUCUCUGAAUGGGGGAACCCACCUAGGAUAACCUAGGUAUCUUGUACUGAAUCCAUAGGUGCAAGAGGCGAACCAGGGGAACUGAAACAUCUAAGUACCCUGAGGAAAAGAAAUCAACCGAGAUUCCCUUAGUAGUGGCGAGCGAACGGGGAUUAGCCCUUAAGCUUCAUUGAUUUUAGCGGAACGCUCUGGAAAGUGCGGCCAUAGUGGGUGAUAGCCCCGUACGCGAAAGGAUCUUUGAAGUGAAAUCGAGUAGGACGGAGCACGAGAAACUUUGUCUGAACAUGGGGGGACCAUCCUCCAAGGCUAAAUACUACUGACUGACCGAUAGUGAACCAGUACCGUGAGGGAAAGGCGAAAAGAACCCCGGAGAGGGGAGUGAAAUAGAACCUGAAACCGUAUGCGUACAAGCAGUGGGAGCCUACUUGUUAGGUGACUGCGUACCUUUUGUAUAAUGGGUCAGCGACUUAUAUUCAGUGGCAAGCUUAACCGUAUAGGGUAGGCGUAGCGAAAGCGAGUCUUAAUAGGGCGUUUAGUCGCUGGGUAUAGACCCGAAACCGGGCGAUCUAUCCAUGAGCAGGUUGAAGGUUAGGUAACACUGACUGGAGGACCGAACCCACUCCCGUUGAAAAGGUAGGGGAUGACUUGUGGAUCGGAGUGAAAGGCUAAUCAAGCUCGGAGAUAGCUGGUUCUCCUCGAAAGCUAUUUAGGUAGCGCCUCAUGUAUCACUCUGGGGGGUAGAGCACUGUUUCGGCUAGGGGGUCAUCCCGACUUACCAAACCGAUGCAAACUCCGAAUACCCAGAAGUGCCGAGCAUGGGAGACACACGGCGGGUGCUAACGUCCGUCGUGAAAAGGGAAACAACCCAGACCGCCAGCUAAGGUCCCAAAGUUGUGGUUAAGUGGUAAACGAUGUGGGAAGGCUUAGACAGCUAGGAGGUUGGCUUAGAAGCAGCCACCCUUUAAAGAAAGCGUAAUAGCUCACUAGUCGAGUCGGCCUGCGCGGAAGAUGUAACGGGGCUCAAACCACACACCGAAGCUGCGGGUGUCACGUAAGUGACGCGGUAGAGGAGCGUUCUGUAAGCCUGUGAAGGUGAGUUGAGAAGCUUGCUGGAGGUAUCAGAAGUGCGAAUGCUGACAUGAGUAACGACAAUGGGUGUGAAAAACACCCACGCCGAAAGACCAAGGGUUCCUGCGCAACGUUAAUCGACGCAGGGUUAGUCGGUUCCUAAGGCGAGGCUGAAAAGCGUAGUCGAUGGGAAACAGGUUAAUAUUCCUGUACUUCUGGUUACUGCGAUGGAGGGACGGAGAAGGCUAGGCCAGCUUGGCGUUGGUUGUCCAAGUUUAAGGUGGUAGGCUGAAAUCUUAGGUAAAUCCGGGGUUUCAAGGCCGAGAGCUGAUGACGAGUCGUCUUUUAGAUGACGAAGUGGUUGAUGCCAUGCUUCCAAGAAAAGCUUCUAAGCUUCAGGUAACCAGGAACCGUACCCCAAACCGACACAGGUGGUCGGGUAGAGAAUACCAAGGCGCUUGAGAGAACUCGGGUGAAGGAACUAGGCAAAAUGGCACCGUAACUUCGGGAGAAGGUGCGCCGGCUAGGGUGAAGGAUUUACUCCGUAAGCUCUGGCUGGUCGAAGAUACCAGGCCGCUGCGACUGUUUAUUAAAAACACAGCACUCUGCAAACACGAAAGUGGACGUAUAGGGUGUGACGCCUGCCCGGUGCCGGAAGGUUAAUUGAUGGGGUUAGCGCAAGCGAAGCUCUUGAUCGAAGCCCCGGUAAACGGCGGCCGUAACUAUAACGGUCCUAAGGUAGCGAAAUUCCUUGUCGGGUAAGUUCCGACCUGCACGAAUGGCGUAACGAUGGCGGCGCUGUCUCCACCCGAGACUCAGUGAAAUUGAAAUCGCUGUGAAGAUGCAGUGUAUCCGCGGCUAGACGGAAAGACCCCGUGAACCUUUACUGUAGCUUUGCACUGGACUUUGAGCCUGCUUGUGUAGGAUAGGUGGGAGGCUUUGAAGCGUGGACGCCAGUUCGCGUGGAGCCAUCCUUGAAAUACCACCCUGGCAUGCUUGAGGUUCUAACUCUGGUCCGUGAUCCGGAUCGAGGACAGUGUAUGGUGGGCAGUUUGACUGGGGCGGUCUCCUCCUAAAGAGUAACGGAGGAGUACGAAGGUGCGCUCAGACCGG